rnacentral:rRNA from 1 species
UACGUAGGGUGCAGGCGUUUAAUCGGAAUUACUGGGCGUAAAGCGUGCGCAGGCGGUUUGCUAAGACAGGUGUGAAAUCCCCGGGCUCAACCUGGGAACUGCCUUUGUGACUGCAUAGCUAGAGUACGGUAGAGGGGGAUGGAAUUCCGCGUGUAGCAGUGAAAUGCGUAGAUAUGCGGAGGAACACCGAUGGCGAAGGCAAUCCCCUGGACCUGUACUGACGCUCAUGCACGAAAGCGUGGGGAGCAAACGAGG